GACGAACGCUGGCGGCGUGCUUAACACAUGCAAGUCGAACGGAAAGGCCCUGCUUUUGUGGGGUGCUCGAGUGGCGAACGGGUGAGUAACACGUGAGUAACCUGCCCUUGACUUUGGUAUAACUUCAGGAAACUGGGGCUAAUACCGGAUAGGAGCUCCUGCUGCAUGGUGGGGGUUGGAAAGUUUCGGCGGUUGGGGAUGGACUCGCGGCUUAUCAGCUUGUUGGUGGGGUAGUGGCUUACCAAGGCUUUGACGGGUAGCCGGCCUGAGAGGGUGACCGGCGACAUUGGGACUGAGAUACGGCCCAGACGCCUACGGGAGGCAGCAGGGGGGAAUAUUGCACAAUGGGCGGAAGCCGGAUGCAGAAACGCCGCGUGCGGGAUGACGGCCUUCGGGGUGUAAAACGCUUUCGCCUGUGACGAAGCGUGAGUGACGGUAAUGGGUAAAGAAGCACCGGCUAACUACGUG
rnacentral:rRNA from 1 species